rnacentral:rRNA from 1 species
ACCUACGGGGGGCAGCAGUGGGGAAUAUUGCCCAAUGGGCGAAAGCCUGAUGCAGCAACGCCGCGUGAAGGAAGACGGUUUUCGGAUUGUAAACUUCUGUUCUUAGUGAAGAAUAAUGACGGUAACUAAGGAGCAAGCCACGGCUAACUAUGUGCCAGCAGCCGCGGUAAUACAUAGGGGGCAAGCGUUAUCCGGAAUUAUUGGGUGUAAAGGGUGCGUAGACGGAAGAACAAGUUGGUUGUGAAAUCCCUCGGCUCAACUGAGGAACUGCAACCAAAACUAUUCUCCUUGAGUGUCGGAGAGGA